GUUGAACGCUGGCGGCAGGCCUAACACAUGCAAGUCGAGCGGAUGACGGGAGCUUGCUCCUUGAUUCAGCGGCGGACGGGUGAGUAAUGCCUAGGAAUCUGCCUGGUAGUGGGGGACAACGUUUCGAAAGGAACGCUAAUACCGCAUACGUCCUACGGGAGAAAGCAGGGGACCUUCGGGCCUUGCGCUAUCAGAUGAGCCUAGGUCGGAUUAGCUAGUUGGUGAGGUAAUGGCUCACCAAGGCGACGAUCCGUAACUGGUCUGAGAGGAUGAUCAGUCACACUGGAACUGAGACACGGUCCAGACUCCUACGGGAGGCAGCAGUGGGGAAUAUUGGACAAUGGGCGAAAGCCUGAUCCAGCCAUGCCGCGUGUGUGAAGAAGGUCUUCGGAUUGUAAAGCACUUUAAGUUGGGAGGAAGGGCAGUAAGUUAAUACCUUGCUGUUUUGACGUUACCAACAGAAUAAGCACCGGCUAACUCUGUGCCAGCCGCCGCAGUAA
rnacentral:rRNA from 1 species